rnacentral:tRNA from 1 species
GAGAGGGACCCAGCACAAGAACUGCUAAUUCUAGUACCUAGAACUAAACCCCUAGACCUCUUA